rnacentral:rRNA from 1 species
GAUGAACGCUGGCGGCGUGCCUAAUACAUGCAAGUCGAGCGAACAGACGAGGAGCUUGCUCCUGUGACGUUAGCGGCGGACGUGUGAGUAACACGUGGAUAACCGGCCUAUAAGACUGGGAUAACUACGGGAAACCGGAGCUAACACCGGAUAAUAUACUGAACCGCAUGGUUCAAUAGUGAAAGACGGUUUUGCUGUCACUUAUAGGUGGAUCCGCGCUGCAUUACCUAGUUGGUAGGGUAACUGCUUACCAAGCCAACGAGGCGUGGCCGACCUGUGUAGGAGAUCGGCCACACUAGGAUCUAGACACGGUCCAGACGCCUACGGGGUGCAGCGGUAGGGAAUUGUCGGCAUUGGGCGAAAUGCUGACGGAGCUCCGCCGGGUGCGUUGUGAAGUGCUUCGGCUGGUGAAUCUCUUUUGUUGGGGAAGAACGUUUGUGUAAGUAGCUAUGCAGGUCUUGACGGUACCUAAUCAAAAAGCCACGGCUAACUACGUG